rnacentral:rRNA from 1 species
UACGUAGGUGGCAAGCGUUAUCCGGAAUUAUUGGGCGUAAAGCGCGCGUAGGCGGUUUCUUAAGUCUGAUGUGAAAGCCCACGGCUCAACCGUGGAGGGUCAUCGGAAACUGGGAAACUUGAGUGCAGAAGAGGAAAGUGGAAUUCCAUGUGUAGCGGUGAAAUGCGCAGAGAUAUGGAGGAACACCAGUGGCGAAGGCGACUUUCUGGUCUGUAACUGACGCUGAUGUGCGAAAGCGUGGGGAGCGAACAGG